rnacentral:rRNA from 1 species
AUACGAAGGGUGCAAGCGUUACUCGGAAUUACUGGGCGUAAAGCGUGCGUAGGUGGUUGUUUAAGUCUGUCGUGAAAGCCCUGGGCUCAACCUGGGAAUGGCGAUGGAAACUGGGCGACUAGAGUGUGGCAGAGGGUAGUGGAAUUCCUGGUGUAGCAGUGAAAUGCGUAGAGAUCAGGAGGAACAUCCGUGGCGAAGGCGACUGCCUGGGCCAACACUGACACUGAGGCACGAAAGCGUGGGGAGCAAACAGGAUUAGAUACCCUGGUAGUCCACGCCCUAAACGAUGCGAACUGGAUGUUGGGUGCAAUUUGGCACGCAGUAUCGAAGCUAACGCGUUAAGUUCGCCGCCUGGGGAAUACGGUCGCAAGACUGAAACUCAAAUGAAUUGACGGGG